CACAUCAUACCCUGAAGCACAGAACUCAGUUUCCUGUAUCCAGCCACACUGUCUGCAGACUAUUUGGCUUUGAUGAGGACAAAGAAAUAAGCAGAGAAGUAUCUUUCUGUGCUGCCACAAAAACAAAACAGCAUUCAAUCCAGAAAUCUUUUACCUGAUGUAUCCAUGCACCAGAGCUGGUUGCCAUCAGUUCAGGGGCAGGCUCCCCGUGUGCCGGCAUCAUGUCGCCCUGAGCUAUUGGCCAACCAGUGUGCUCCAGGCAAAUCUGAAACAAAACCUAAAUUAGGGCAUCCUCAUUUUGUUUUACAGCUCAUGGAAGGCUGCCCAGGCUGCAGGGGACCACACAGCUGCAGGAAUAUAGGAAGUGAGAAAAUAGGCCACUGUUAAUAACUUGGUGAUUCCAGGCAUGCACAAGAAUAACUGAAAAUUGGCGUAACCUGGAACCAUCUAUCUUCACUUAUUCAUUUGAAGAGUCAAGGAAUUCAAGACAUCUUUGGAAAUAAGAAAGAACUUGGCUCUUCUCUCCCAGGAUAUUGCAAAACAAUUUUGUACCAUCUAUUGCAAUACCUACCUGGGAAUAAACAUUCCCCUCAGACAUUAUCAGAGACAGGACCACCCAUGGCAGAAGGCAAUGAGCAAAUUCCCAGGGGCCCUGUUCCCAGAUGUAGCAGACCCUCCUCACAGCCACUGCCUGCUGUGGGGCAGCUCCCUCAGGACCUGCUCCCCAUACCUUGGGGGCAGCAGGAAUACCACCGCUCUCCCUGCUGGGAGAGGAGCUGUGCGGGAGGCUUUAGUGGUUAGCCUUCUGUAAUGAGUGGAUGUCCUUUCAUGUUCCCAAGAGAGAUGUAACUGGGCUGCACAGCUGUUCUGCAGCAGACUGGGACGGCAGAAUAAGUCAGCAGUGUUUUGCUAGGGAUGCAAACUGCAGAGGACUGGUUCUGGUGUUUUUUAGCAGCUCUUGAUACAUUGUGCUGAGAAAAUGCCUGCCUGAGGAUGCCUCUACAAAGCUAGCCUUUUCAGAGCCCGUGUGAGGCAGGCACUUUCCACAUCACCCUCCUUCCCCUCCAGGUGCUUCAAUUUUUGCAGUAUGCCAGGCCAUCACAUCUAUCAGUAUUCAGGCAGAGCUUUUCCAUGGAAAUCUAUGCGUGCUUGGCAGCUCUCCGACUGAUUUCCCAGCACAAGUUUUGCAGAGGACUAAUUUCAAUGGCUUUUACAAUGAUUUCAGUGGAUGCAUUUGGAGGAUAGUAUAUGGAGGAAGAAUUGCCUGGCUCCCAUUAACACCAAUGGAGUCACGAGGGCACCAGCCUGUACGCUGCUCUGGGACAUAGCUGCAAUGACUGGUGAGGGGGCUGCUGCCUUUCCUCUGUUCUUCUAGAUGCAAUGCUUCCCUCGUGCAGAGCAGUGGGCAAAAUAAAGCAGAGGGACAGCACAGUUUCCUCCACCUGAGAAAUUCUGCAGAAUAACUUUGGGGUUCGCCUUGAUUUUUAGAGAGAACCUUCCACUUCUGAAUUUCCUGAAGUAUGAGGUAUCUAAGAUCGUGGCAAAAACAAAUUACCAAAACAAACAAAAAAGCAAACAAAAAAAAUCAUAGCAAAUGGAAAACUUACUAUUAACAACAUUCUGGUUAGUAGUUGCAUAGGACUCAUGGUCCCACCAAAAUUCUAGGAUUCUUUGAUUAUACAUCUUCCUUGCUAGUCAUAGAUAAAUGGGGCAGCUGCACAGCUGAAGCUAGUAGCUAAUUUAAAAUUUGACCUGUAUUAAAAAAAUAAUAAUAAUAAAUUUUGGAUCCUUCAUUCUCUGUUUAUGAACACCUGCAGUUUAUAUUGCACACAUUUUCACUGGACACAAUCUGUAAAAUUAUUAUAGCGUAGUCCUCCCGUAUGUCACACUGUGGCAGUACCUUUGAUCUCAGCCCUUGGGAAACAUUUUUUCAUGUGGGCAGCAGCAGCAGCUGUAAAUACAAUGUUAAUACUAUUGGGGUAUUAAAUUUCCCUUUUAUUUUGCUGGCUGAAGUCAGAAGGUUUAUGCACUUCUACACUUCCCAUACAGCACGCUUUCAAGUUUCUGAAGUUCCAAAGAUGAUCUGGUGAAUGUUCUGUCUUAGAUACACUUAUAAGAGAAAAAAGAUCUCUCUCGUUUCUUUAGAGUUCGGGAAAAUAUGCUUCAGUGACAAAUCUUGAUCUCUCAACAUCUUGAUGCUCCCCUCAGUUGCUUUAGCACUGACAGCUUUUCUGCUUUAACUUGAGCAGGAACAACUUGGUGGCUAAAUCACCCAGUUACAGCCUGCAGAUACGCUUCACGUUGAAGUUACUCAUAUUUAAAAUCCCACGUCAGCUUUAAGAAAGAGUCUGCCAAAAACAAGUUUUCUCUGUCCUUGUUUGUUGUUUCAUCACAGCGCUAAAAUUCAGGGUUGCAUGCUGACUCUGCCACGCACAGGUAGCACAGAAAUCUGUCCUUAGCUUGCCACUGUGUUACGUAGCAGAUGAGCUGCAAAAACACAUCCCAACUACACCUGUAAGUCAAUGCUGUAAAGAUUAGAUAAUGCUCUGUGCAGUGUAAAGAGUAUCUUGACCUAAACUUUAUUGAGAGGUCUUCUAUUCCCUUUGGCCUGAUUCAGAGGUAGCUGCUCUGCGUAACAUCUUAUUUGUUAUGGUUUUAAAUUGGGAAUGUUAUACAGAUUGCACUCCUCUCUUCCAUGUGGAGAAUGUACAUCUGUAGUAGGAAUGUUUACUAAGUAUUAUUUUUUAAAGCACAUAGAUAUUGUUAAAAAGAACAUACACUGAACCCAUUCCAAUGAUUUAAGUGCCUUUUCCCUUUCAAGAGCACUAAAGUGAAAAAAAGUCUUUUAAAAGGUAUUCUGCCAAAUGGUAUAAAAAGACUCCGAAGGGUCCAAAUUACCUUGACUUAACCUUUCUUACCCACUGCUUUGCAGGCUGAAUUAGACACACAAACAGCAAGACCUGCUCUUUGCAUGCUUCAUACACACUGCUGUCAAAUGUGCAUACCAACAUUCAGUUCUGUUCAUUUUCAAAUACCACUCUAAUAGCCAGUUUUGUGCACACAAAGCUUUUUAAAUGCAUCUGCUGGGUCCUGUGCCUCAGGGCAUAUCUCGUUUUGUGC